rnacentral:rRNA from 1 species
CCACGUGAGGGGCGAGCGUUGUCCGGAAUCACUGGGCGUAAAGGGCGCGUAGGCGGUGACUUAAGCGUGUGGUGAAAGCCCGGGGCUCAACCCCGGGUCGGCCGUACGAACUGGGUCACUCGAGCACUGUAGAGGCAGGUGGAAUUCCGGGUGUAGCGGUGGAAUGCGUAGAGAUCCGGAAGAACACCAGUGGCGAAGGCGGCCUGCUGGGCAGUAGCUGACGCUGAGGCGCGACAGCGUGGGGAGCAAACAGGAUUAGAUACCCGAGUAGUCC